rnacentral:tRNA from 1 species
CACUAAGAAGCUUACUCAAGCACCAGCCUUUUAAGCCGGAGAGGAGACUUGGUCUCCUUAGUGA